GGGGGCGACAGGCUUCGACGGGGUAAGUGAAGCUGUGGCCGCGUGCCCAGGUCCUCGGGUUCCUGGUAAAACACUCGGGAAAUUUUUAACUGCCAACAACAACUUGGCCCUCGCUGCGUAACUUCGGUUUCGCCGAGUGCUCCAGCGGAAGCCCUCCCGGGGCGGCUUCUGGAGUAUCGCAAAUCCGGGAUGGUCGGCUCGCGCGUUCUCGGUGAGCUGACGAGACUCUAGAGAACUCAUCCGGCGGUGGGCGGUUCACCGGCCAGCCGACGGAAACACCAAUCGGUGAACUACGCACGUAGACGCUGUGGUGGAUCUAUUCUCGGACCGGGGUUCGAUUCCCCGCGCCUCCAUCG
rnacentral:tmRNA from 1 species